rnacentral:rRNA from 1 species
AAUGAACGCUGGAGGCGCGCCUAAUACAUGCAAGUCGAGCGAGAAGACGUAGCAAUACGUUUGUAAAGCGGCGAACGGGUGAGGAAUACAUGGGUAACCUACCCUAGAGUGGGGAAUAACUAGCCGAAAGGUUAGCUAAUACCGCGUACGCUCCUUGGACUUCGGUUCAGGGAGGAAAGCGAUGCCGAGGGUAUCGCGCUCUUGGAUGGGCUCAUGUCCUAUCAGCUUGUUGGNGAGGUAACGGCUCACCAAGGCUUCGACGGGUAGCUGGUCUGAGAGGACGAUCAGCCACACUGGCACUGCGACACGGGCCAGACUCCUACGGGAGGCAGCAGUGGGAAUCUUGCGCAAUGGGCGAAAGCCUGACGCAGCGACGCCGCGUGAGGGAUGACGGCCU